GUAAGCGGUGAAUAUAAGGGUGUUCAAGAAUAAUUUUUUGAGUUGUAAGCAUGUAAAACGUAGUGGAAGACGUCAAGAGGCUUUCUUGGAACUGGGUCUGGCUGAUCUUUAGAACAAAAGGAUUCUGAUACUCCUUCUCCAAGUGGGAGGCCAAUCCCAUUGCGUGCUUUGUAUAAAUGAUGCAGCGACUGAAAGUAUUAGGUGCAGAGCUGGGUUGUUUACCGAUUGCAGAAGUGGGGUUGUUGCUGGAUAUGGGAUGAUUAUGCUACUUGAAGACCUGCAUAGGAUCUGCAACUCUAUUGCCAAAUUAAUCUCUCUAAGUAUAUAAGGGAAUAUAUGGGGGGAUUGGAUGGUUUAGAGCUGAGCUGCUUUUGGGGAAUAUUAGUCAUUUUUAUACAAUUGAAUGAGGUCUUGCUUUGAAAUUUGAUCAUUAAAUUUGUUGUUUCUGAUAUUAUAAUUGCAGGAUGAGUAUGCUGCUCGUAACCUUGUGCUUUAGUUCAUAGUUGAGUCUCAUGUGGUGUGUGUUCUGGGUUAACUGGUUUUAAUGAAGGCUUGGAUUCCCAAAGAUAAUGGUUGUUGUGAAGGAGAGUGAUGUCAAUGAUUAUUAGGGAGUAUUGUUAGGCUUGUAAAGCUUGGAGCAGAUAUUAUAGUGAGAAGAAUUUUGCUUUUCAUUUCAUGUAAGGAUGAGUUGUCUUGCUAGUUUGGUGGGAUAAAAAUUUCAAAAGGCAUAUGACUAGGAUUGAUUUUUUCUGGUUUUCCUAGUCUUACUGAAAUAUCUGGAUUUGCUUGGUUUUAUUCUGGUUUUCCUAGUCUUACUGAAAUAUCUGGAUUUGCUUGGUUUUAUUUCUUUUGUAAUAUGUGAGUUCUCUCUCAUUUGUUAAGAGAAAUGUACUAUUGCGCUUCCUGUGCCUUGUUUUAAUGAAUUUUCUUUUCAUAAAUAAAAACUUCAGUGUUAUGUUAA